rnacentral:lncRNA from 1 species
GUUCGAGCUUAGAGUUGCCAUUUUGGGUAAAGUCAAAUUCUGACUUACAUAUUUGAAAAUUUUCUUUUAUUUGACGGUGGUCGGUUGAUGUAAAGGUGUUAUUUCGAGCAAGGUCGAUUUGUAACCUAUUUGACGAUGGCUACUGGCUGUAGGGGUAUUAUUCAAGCAAGAUCGGAAUUGUAGCCCGUUAUAAUUCGAGUGAGGUUGAAUUUCUCUUUUGGCGAUGGCCGAUGGCCGUAGGGGUGUUAUUUCGAGAAAGGUCAAAAUUGUAAUCCGUUGUAACUCAAGCGAAAUCGAACUUCUCUUUUGGCGAUGACCGAUGGUCGUAGGGGUGUUAUUUUGAGUAAAGGUUGAAACUGUAACCCGUUGUAAUUUGAGCGAAACCAAACUUCUCUUUUGGCGAUAGCCGAUGGCUAUAGGGGUUUUAUUUCG